rnacentral:lncRNA from 10 species
GAACAAUCUGAUUCACACUUGGAGGAGGACACAGGAGCUGAAUCAGAUGGGGCUGUGGUGCCUGGGGAGGAAAUUUUUUAUUUUGGGAUCCUAGAACGAAGAGACAAUGAAGAUGACAUGGAAUUCAUCAACAUGCUUUCCUUGAUCUACACAACCGCCUGCCCCAUGCUGCUGGCAGAGCAGUCUGUUCUCUUGGCCUAUGCAGAUGCCAUAGUAUACAAGUGUUAAAAUUGUGGUGGAUCCCAGAAGCGUGCAGACAUGUUCAGAUGUGUCCAGAGUUCCUUUCUUCUGGUGGGUUCGUGGUCUCCCUGACUUCAGGAGUGAAGCUGCAGAUCUUCAUG